rfam:Glossina palpalis gambiensis isolate 146720 unplaced genomic scaffold Scaffold480, whole genome shotgun sequence.
AGUUUUUAGUACGUAUGCGCCAGGGAUGGCGAAUCGUGCAUGCUGCUAUAAAGCCCAGUAGUAUCUUUCGAAGAUUUUCU